GAUGAACGCUAGCGGCAGGCCUAAUACAUGCAAGUCGAACGGUGUAGCAAUACACAGUGGCGCACGGGUGCGUAACACGUAUGCAACCUACCUUACAUUGGGGGAUAGCCUUUCGAAAGGGAGAUUAAUACCGCAUAAGACAGUAACUAGGCAUCUAGUAGCUGUAAAAGAUUUAUCGAUGUAAGCUGGGCAUGCGUCCAAUUAGUUAGUUGGCGAGGUAAUGGCUCACCAAGACGAUGAUUGGUAGGGGAACUGAGAGGUCAAUCCCCCACACUGGCACUGAGAUACGGGCCAGACUCCUACGGGAGGCAGCAGUAGGGAAUAUUGGGCAGUGGUCGCAAGCCUGACCCAGCCAUGCCGCGUGCAGGAAGAAGGCGUUAUGCGUUGUAAACUGCUUUUAUACAGGAAGAAACGACCCUUGCGAGGGGCAUUGACGGUACUGUAUGAAUAAGCACCGGCUAACUCCGUGCCAGCCGCCGCCGUAACAC
rnacentral:rRNA from 1 species